UGGUAGAUGCACCCUGAUUAUUCGUCCCGAACUUAUCUUAUGGUAAGUUGGGACUUUUUAU
rnacentral:sRNA from 1 species